AACGCGAAGAACCUUACCUACUCUUGACAUCCAGAGAACUUAGCAGAGAUGCUUUGGUGCCUUCGGGAACUCUGAGACAGGUGCUGCAUGGCUGUCGUCAGCUCGUGUUGUGAAAUGUUGGGUUAAGUCCCGCAACGAGCGCAACCCUUAUCCUUUGUUGCCAGCGGUCCGGCCGGGAACUCAAAGGAGACUGCCAGUGAUAAACUGGAGGAAGGUGGGGAUGACGUCAAGUCAUCAUGGCCCUUACGAGUAGGGCUACACACGUGCUACAAUGGCAUAUACAAAGAGAAGCGACCUCGCGAGAGCAAGCGGACCUCAUAAAGUAUGUCGUAGUCCGGAUUGGAGUCUGCAACUCGACUCCAUGAAGUCGGAAUCGCU
rnacentral:rRNA from 1 species